rnacentral:misc_RNA from 1 species
AGAACCACGUGGUUUUGGAUUUGUUCAGUUCGUAGAUGCUGCUGAUGCUGCCGAUGCCAAGUAUGAACUGGAUGGCCAAGUUCUCCUGGGUCGUGAAUUAACUGUUGUGUUUGCGGAAGAGAACAGGAAGAGACCUGAAGAGAUGAGAGCACGAGACUCAUCAAGGGGUCGGUCCUACAGUUACAGCAACAGGCGCUCCCCGUUGCGAUAUUCACAAUCCCCGCACUAUGAUCGAAAAUAUUCUCGCAGUCCGGAGUAUUAUUCCCCUGCUCGGUCCAGACGAUAUUCAAGGUCAAUCUCGCCGAGGGACCGGAGGUACAGGGAACACUCCUACUCGAGGUCACCAUAUAAUUCAAGGGGCCGCAGUUACAGCCGAAGCAGGAGUCGUAGCUAUAGUCGAAGCUAUUCUAGGUGAGUAAAAAUACUUGGAAAUUUUAAGAAGCCAGCUGAUUUUUCUGAAGACCCAGAAACUAUGAUGCUAUGAUGUUAAGAUAUGUUCGGUAUUUGGAUUUGGGAGGCCUUGUAUAUGAUUUAGAAAAAUGCUUGGUUUAGAGCCAACUGAUUUUAUGCUCUAAUUGAACAAAUUUAUGAACUUCGUGGUUGUUUUCUCCAUGUAGAAUGAAACUUGGGAUUUUUAGACUUCCUCUAAAAUACUCGUCAGUUGAAUCUUG